rnacentral:tRNA from 1 species
GAGGGUACAACUCAGUGGUAGACUGCAUGCUUAGUACGUAUGAAGUCCUGGGUUCAAUCCCCAGUACCUCCU